CCUACGGGAGGCAGCAGUGGGGAAUUUUGGACAAUGGGCGCAAGCCUGAUCCAGCUAUUCCGCGUGUGGGAUGACGGCCUUCGGGUUGUAAACCACUUUUGUAGAGAACGAAAAGUCUGUUGAUAAUACCGAUAGAUGAUGACGGUACUCUAAGAAUAAGCACCGGCUAACUACGUGCCAGCAGCCGCGGUAAUACGUAGGGUGCGAGCGUUAAUCGGAAUUACUGGGCGUAAAGGGUGUGCAGGCGGUUUUGCAAGAUGGAUGGGAAAGCCCCGGGCUUAACCUGGGAAAGACAUACAUGACUGGGAGACUAGAGUGGGGCAGAGGGGAGUGGAAUUCCGAGGGUAGCAGUGAAAUGCGUAGAUAUUU
rnacentral:rRNA from 1 species